rnacentral:rRNA from 1 species
UAACCUGCUAAAUAGACCAGCCGGCUUUGGCUAGCUGCUGUCUUCUUAGAGGGACUAUCAGCGUUUAGCUGAUGGAAGUUUGAGGCAAUAACAGGUCUGUGAUGCCCUUAGAUGUUCUGGGCCGCACGCGCGCUACACUGACAGAGCCAGCGAGUUUUUUUCCUUGGCCGGAAGGCCUGGGUAAUCUUGUGAAACUCUGUCGUGAUGGGGAUAGAACAUUGCAAUUAUUGUUCUUCAACGAGGAAUACCUAGUAAGCGUGAGUCAUCAGCUCGCGUUGAUUACGUCCCUGCCCUUUGUACACACCGCCCGUCGCUAC